rnacentral:rRNA from 1 species
GAUGAACGCUGGCGGCGUGCCUAAUACAUGCAAGUCGAGCGAACGGACGCGACGCUUGCUUUUCUGAUGUUAGCGGCGGACGGGUGAGUCACACGUGGAUAACCUCCCUAUCAGACUGGGAUAACUUCGGGAAACCGGCGCUAAUACCGUAUAAUAUUUUGCACCGCAUGGUUCAAUAGUGAAAUACGGUCUUGCUGUCACUUCUCGCUGCAUCCGCGCUGCUUUAGCUAGUUGGUAAGGUAACGGCUUAACAAGGCUACGAUGCGUGGCCGACCUGAGAGAGGGGUCGGCCACACUGGAACUGAGACACGGUCCAGACUCCUAAGGGAGGCAGCAGUAGGGAAUCUGCCGCAAUGGGCGAAAGCAUGACGGAGCAACGCCGCGUGAGUGAUGAAGGUCUUGGGAUCGUAAAAAUGUGUUAUGAGGGAAGAACAGAUGUGGAAGUAAAUGUGCACAGCGUGACGGUACCGAAUCAGAAAGCAACGGCUAACUACGUG